UGGCGACCGGCGCACGGGUGCGUAACGCGUAUGCAACCUACCUUUAACAGGGGGAUAACACUGAGAAAUUGGUACUAAUACCCCAUAAUAUCAUAGAAGGCAUCUUUUAUGGUUGAAAAUUCCGAUGGUUAGAGAUGGGCAUGCGUUGUAUUAGCUAGUUGGUGGGGUAACGGCUCACCAAGGCGACGAUACAUAGGGGGACUGAGAGGUUAACCCCCCACAUUGGUACUGAGACACGGACCAA
rnacentral:rRNA from 1 species